rnacentral:rRNA from 1 species
CCACCACUAAGCCAGUGGUGAACUCCACAUACGCAUCCUUUGCUGAGGAUACGGUUAACGGAGCGAAAGCGACGUUCAACCGCAAAAGAAGCAGAGGGGGCUUAGUGGUGGGGUGACUGCGUACCUUUUGUAUAAUGGGUCAGCGACUUAUAUUCUGUAGCAAGGUUAACCGUAUAGGGGAGCCGGAGGGAAACCGAGUCUUAAUUGGGCGUUAAGUUGCAGGGUAUAGACCCGAAACCCGGUGAUCUAGCCAUGGGCAGGUUGAAGGUUGGGUAACACUAACUGGAGGACCGAACCGACUAAUGUUGAAAAAUUAGCGGAUGACCUGUGGCUGGGGGUGAAAGGCCAAUCAAACCGGGAGAUAGCUGGUUCUCCCCGAAAGCUAUUUAGGUAGCGCCUCGUGAAUUCAUCUCCGGGGGUAGAGCACUGUUUCGGCUAGGGGGCCAUCCCGGCUUACCAACCCGAUGCAAACUGCGAAUACCGGAGAAUGUUAUCACGGGAGACACACGGCGGGUGCUAACGUCCGUCGUGAAGAGGGAAACAACCCAGACCGCCAGCUAAGGUCCCAAAGUCAUGGUUAAGUGGGAAACGAUGUGGGAAGGCCCAGACAGCCAGGAUGUUGGCUUAGAAGCAGCCAUCAUUUAAAGAAAGCGUAAUAGCUCACUGGUCGAGUCGGCCUGCGCGGAAGAUGUAACGGGGCUAAACCAUG